UACGUAGGGUGCGAGCGUUGUCCGGAAUUAUUGGGCGUAAAGGGCUCGUAGGCGGUCUGUCGCGUCGGGAGUGAAAACACGGGGCUUAACCCCGUGCCUGCUUCCGAUACGGGCAGACUAGAGGUAUGCAGGGGAGAACGGAAUUCCUGGUGUAGCGGUGAAAUGCGCAGAUAUCAGGAGGAACACCGAUGGCGAAGGCAGGUCUCUGGGCCGAUACUGACGCUGAGACGCGAAAGCGUGGGGAGCAAACAGG
rnacentral:rRNA from 1 species